UGGGAGCACUCAUGAGAUGAUGUGG
rnacentral:misc_RNA from 1 species